rnacentral:rRNA from 1 species
UACGGAGGGUGCAAGCGUUGUUCGGAAUUAUUGGGCGUAAAGCGCGUGUAGGCGGCUUUGCAAGUCGGGUGUGAAAGCCCUCAGCUCAACUGAGGAAGUGCGCCCGAAACUGCAGAGCUUGAGUGCCGGAGAGGGUGGCGGAAUUCCCCAAGUAGAGGUGAAAUUCGUAGAUAUGGGGAGGAACACCGGUGGCGAAGGCGGCCACCUGGACGGUAACUGACGCUGAGGUGCGAAAGCGUGGGGAGCAAACAGG